GAACAUGAGAAAGCAGAAGACUCAAAGUCAGUUGUUGUACUUGCUGCUGCUGGUAGGUAGAGCUCCUUCUCUUCUGCUGUCCUUUCCUUGUGCAAUCCACAAGAUUUGCACAGAUUAUGAAUACCCAUAAAACCACAAAAUUUUGAUAUAAAUUAAAUUUAAAGCAAUAUCAUGGUAAAUCCAAAUUAAACAUUGGGCCCAGACCCUGGAGGCCUUUAAUGACUCAUGGAAAUGCUGCCCCUAAACGUAUUAGAUUAAGUCCAAUGGCUAUCCAAUUUUGUUUUUGGGAUGUCUAAAU
rnacentral:misc_RNA from 1 species